AGAUAUUUUUUUAUAUGGUCAUGGUCGGUUAUGUGAUGGUUUGUGUCACCAUAAAAAGCUGAUAUUCAGUCGUGUUUUUUGAUAUUUUUGUUAUUUUGUAAUCGAGUACCUUUUUAAAGGUCUAAUGGCUCCCAUCAGGUGUUGUGUGCAGACGGUGGAAAAAUUCAACGAGUAAACCUAUAUUUAAUCCAAAUUAAAUACUCAUAUUUCUAUGUAAAAUGUCACAUUAUUGAAUAAAUAAAUAAUUAAGAAACAAAA